CCUACGGGUGGCAGCAGUAGGGAAUAUUGCUCAAUGGGGGAAACCCUGAAGCAGCAACGCCGCGUGGAGGAUGAAGGUUUUCGGAUUGUAAACUCCUUUUGUUAGAGAAGAUAAUGACGGUAUCUAACGAAUAAGCACCGGCUAACUCCGUGCCAGCAGCCGCGGGAAUACGGAGGGUGCAAGCGUUAAUCGGAAUCACUGGGCGUAAAGAGCACGUAGGCGGUUUAGCAAGUCAGAUGUGAAAUCCUAUGGCUUAACCAGGGAAUUGCAUUUGAUACUGGUCAGCUAGAGUAUGGUAGAGGGAGGUAGAAUUCCAGGUGUAGGGGUAAAAUGCGUAGAGAUGUAGAGGAAUACUCAUUGCGAAGGCGGCCCGCUAGAAAAAGACUGACGCUGAUGCGCGAAAGCGUGGGGAGCAAACAGGAUUAGAUACCCCUGUAGUC
rnacentral:rRNA from 1 species